rnacentral:rRNA from 1 species
AGUGAACGCUGGCGGCGUGCUUUACACAUGCAAGACGAACGAGAACGGAAUAUAGCUUGCUAUAUUUGUCAGCUAAGUGGCGCACGGUUGAGUAAUGUAUAGAUAACCUGCCCUUAAGAAAGGAAUAACAGUUGGAGACGACUGCUAAUGCCCUAUAUGCCUUUAAUACAUAAGUAUGCAAGGGAAACGCUUUAGUGCUUAAGGAUGGGUCUGUAUGGUAUCAUCUUGUUGAUGAGGUAACGGCUCACCAAGGCUAUGAAGACUCACUGGUUUGCGAGGAUGAUCAGUCACACGGGCACUACGCGACGGUCCAGACUCCUACGGGAUGCGGCAGUGGGGAAUAUUGCACAAUGUACGAAAGUCUGAUGCAGCAACGCCGCGUGGAGGAUGACACAUUUCGGUGCGUAAACUCCUUUUUUAUAGUAAGAUAAUGACGGUACUAUAUGAAUAAGCACCGGCUAACUGCGUGCCAGCCGCCGCAGUAA